CCUUAAUAUCGUACUCCUCCGCGAACUCUUGCCGCGUGAGCGAGGGUCCUUCAGUAGCAAACCCGAGAGUCUAGCGUCAUGAUCGUGUUGCAGCGUUUCGAAUGCAAACCGAGGCACGAUGGCCGUGACAAGGCGUGCAAUGAUCCGACGCGGACGUAGUCCUCCAAUCUGACCCGGCAAUAACAGCUUGCACCGGUUGCGUCGCUGCCUGUGCGGCCGCUCUGCCUGUUGUGGACCGCCCCGGUGAGGGAAGAUCAGAGUGUGCAAGAAUGAGCCGAAAUAGGUCGGAGGGAUGCUGCCGAUCUGCAUGAUCACUCCUCAUGCGUCCACACCGGCACCAC
rnacentral:misc_RNA from 1 species